UCAUACUGCCCUUGGGAUGUGAUUUUGCUCAGGUUAUCGAGUCCUGUGGAUGAUGGGCAAUGUCUGGAGGGCAAGUGACCAGGAGGACAGAAAUAGACAAAUCUGUCACAAACUUUCAGAGCUGUAUUACCAAGCCAGAAUUCUUCUCUGCGGUCUCCAAACCCAGCGGCAUAGGCCUUCCAGUUUCGGUAAAAGUCCUCACGUCCAUUUUUGCGUCUCAGGAAAACCUACAACAAUAUGAUACUUAAGUAAUAGAAGGGAUGAGAAGAUAAGAUGUCUUUUUGGAAGGAGGAAUGUCAGACUGAGGGAAGAACAGCCAACCAUCUCCAGCUUUCUCCAUUGCUUAUUUAUUUGCCUGUGACUUUGGGCACAAUCACGCCCUUCCCCUCCCCAUGCCUAAGUGUUCAGAAAACUAGGAAUGGACAAUGCUUCUUAGUUCUGGUGACACUGAUGCAUCUUGGUCUCUCAACAGUCUUCAUGAUGCAUCACACUGAAGCUGACAGUGGAGGAAAGGUUGAGAGGGGGUGACCUACAAAUUUUAUUGAUAAAAAAAAAAUCCUGUACAGCCAA